rnacentral:rRNA from 1 species
GACAGAGGCCUCGAGCGUUAGGCGGAAUCACUGGGCUUAAAGCGUGUGUAGGCGGAUGGUUAAGUGCCUUGUGAAAUCCCACGGCUCAACCGUGGAACGGCUGGGCAUACUGGCCAUCUUGAGCUAUCUAGGGGCGACUGGAACAGACGGUGGAGCGGUGAAAUGCGUAGAUAUCGUCUGGAACGCCAAAGGUGAAAACAGGUCGCUGGGGAUAUGCUGACGCUGAGACACGAAAGCCAGGGGAGCAAACGGG